rnacentral:rRNA from 1 species
CACGUAGGGAGCAAGCGUUGUCCGGAUUUAUUGGGCGUAAAGAGCUCGUAGGUGGUUCGGUAAGUCAGGUGUGAAACCUCCAGGCUCAACCUGGAGACGCCACUUGAUACUGCUGUGACUGGAGCCCGGUAGGGGAGCGUGGAAUUCCUGGUGUAGCGGUGAAAUGCGCAGAUAUCAGGAGGAACACCAAUGGCGAAGGCAGCUCGCUGGGACGGUACUGACGCUGAGACGCGAAAGCGUGGGGAGCAAACAGG